rnacentral:rRNA from 1 species
CAGAGGGAUAGCCAUUGGAAACGAUGAUUAAAACCUCAUAACGCCGGAGAGUCACAUGGUUUUCCGGCCAAAGAUUNAUCGGCAUAAGAUGGGCCUGCGUCUGAUUAGUUAGUUGGUGGGGUAACGGCCUACCAAGGCGACGAUCAGUAGCCGACCUGAGAGGGUGAUCGGCCACAUUGGAACUGAGACACGGUCCAAACUCCUACGGGAGGCAGCAGUGGGGAAUAUUGCACAAUGGGCGAAAGCCUGAUGCAGCAACGCCGCGUGAAGGAAGAAGGCCUUCGGGUCGUAAACUUCUGUCCUAUGGGAAGAAAAAAAUGACGGUACCAUAGGAGGAAGCCCCGGCUAACUACGUGCCAGCAGCCGCGGUAAUACGUAGGGGGCGAGCGUUAUCCGGAAUUAUUGGGCGUAAAGAGUGCGUAGGUGGUAACUUAAGCGCGGGGUUUAAGGCAAUGGCUUAACCAUUGUUCGCCCUGCGAACUGGGAUACUUGAGUGCAGGAGAGGAAAGCGGAAUUCCUAGUGUAGCGGUGAAAUGCGUAGAUAUUAGGAGGAACACCAGUGGCGAAGGCGGCUUUCUGGACU